UACAUGUGGGGCAAGCGUUGUUCGGAAUUACUGGGCAUAAAGGGUGCGUAGGCGGCUUGUUAAGUCAGGGGUGAAAGUUUUCGGCCCAACCGGAAAAUGGCCUUUGAUACUGGCGAGCUCGAGUGCGUGAGGGGUGACUGGAACGAGCAGUGUAGCGGUGAAAUGCGUAGAUAUCUGGAGGAACACCGGUGGCGAAGGCGGCAUUCUGGACCGACAUUGACGCUGAGGAGCGAAAGCCAGGGGGAGCAAACGGG
rnacentral:rRNA from 1 species